CAGGAUCCUGGUGAUGCGGCCCAACAGGAAGCAAAGCACAGGGAGGCAGAAAUGAGAAACAGUAUCUUAGCCCAAGUUCUAAAUCAGUCGGCCCCUGGCCAGGUUAAGUAACUUAGCACGUGUAAAGACUAAAAAAACUAAAGCAGUAGAGAAUUACCUUAUACAGAUGACAAGAUAUGGACAACUAAGUGAGAAGGUAUCACAACUAGGUUUAAUAGAAAUCCUUAAAAAAAGUAAGCCGACAAACAGAAAAGACAACAACAGUGAAAUUCAACAGAAGAAAAGUAAUAGACUCUGAUGAAGAUGACGAUU
rnacentral:lncRNA from 1 species